rnacentral:rRNA from 1 species
UACGGAGGGUGCAAGCGUUAUCCGGAUUCACUGGGUUUAAAGGGUGCGUAGGUGGCUUUGUAAGUCAGUGGUGAAAUCUCGGAGCUUAACUCCGAAACUGCCAUUGAUACUGCUUAGCUUGAAUCAAGUAGAGGUGGAUGGAAUAAUACAUGUAGCGGUGAAAUGCUUAGAUAUGUAUUAGAACACCGAUUGCGAAGGCAGUUCACUAUGCUUGUAUUGACACUGAGGCACGAAAGCGUGGGGAGCAAACAGG